CACCGCGGUUAUACGAGAGGCCCAAGUUGAUGGACGCGGCGUAAAGGGUGGUUAAGGUUUGUAUAAAAUAUAGCAGAAGGGCCUUUUGGCCGUCAUACGCCCCUAAGUGUCCGAACCCCCUACACGAAAGUAGCUUUAAAAUUAACCCACCUGACCCCACGAAAGCUGAGGAA
rnacentral:rRNA from 1 species